UACGUAGGGUGCAAGCGUUAAUCGGAAUUACUGGGCGUAAAGCGUGCGCAGGCGGUUGUGCAAGACAGAUGUGAAAUCCCCGGGCUCAACCUGGGAACUGCAUUUGUGACUGCACGGCUAGAGUGUGUCAGAGGGGGGUAGAAUUCCACGUGUAGCAGUGAAAUGCGUAGAGAUGUGGAGGAAUACCGAUGGCGAAGGCAGCCCCCUGGGAUGGCACUGACGCUCAUGCACGAAAGCGUGGGGAGCAAACAGG
rnacentral:rRNA from 1 species